UCUUGUGGGGCAGAGGACACAGGGAGCUGGCACCUUUGCGGAUCUUGCUAUUGCUGUCUAUGGAAAUAAUAAACUGCCUGACGACAAAGGACUAGUUAUUUCUUUAGCAGCUGAAUGUCUCAGCCUUGCAUGAGGGCAAGGACAAAUGCUCUGCACCCACCCUUGGCCCGUCUGGUAUUUGAUGAAACUCGUGAAAGUGGGUGAACCUAACUUGCCCCUCUUCUCUAGGAUGCAGUGAAUGCAUAUGUGACUGUGACUUUUCAGAGAAGGAAACCGAGGCUUACAGAAGCUCUGUGUGAUCACAUUUCCACAAUUCACAGUGAGUAGAACUGAGACUUGAACUCAGGUCUGUCUGACGUCAAGUCAUUCCCUUAACCACUCUGCUGUACUACAGGAAAUUACAAAUGAACCUCAAAGGAGCUCAUAAUUUGACAGGGCAUUUGAGGGAGGCCCAAGUAAGACAUAAUUAUGAGGCAGGGCCUCCAUUUGAUUUAUCUUGGCAGUUAUGACCUAGGGCAGGCUUAUAGUAGGGGUUCAAAAACUAUGUGUUGAAAAUAAAUGAUAGACAUUAGUACCAGUAUUCUGAGGAGCUGGUACAUUCACCUCUGAGUGGACAUAUCAUAAUGUAGAGGCAGCAGG